UGAACGACUAUGGAACUUUCCGCAUUGCUUAGGAGCAUUAGAGGGCAAACAUAUUAAUAUACGGUGUCCUAUUAAUGCUGGUUCUGAAUAUUACAAUUAUAAAGGGGCCCACUCAAUAGUUCUGCUAGCCCUUGUUGAUGCCGAUUAUAAGUUUAUUGUUGUCGAUGUAGGAGCAUAUGGAAAAAACAGCGAUGGUGCCAUUUUUUCAAAUUCUUUGUUAGGCAAAUCAUUAGCUAAUGGCACGUUCAAUGUACCUGCCGAUGAGAAACUAACAGCACAUGGAGAAGAAUUGCCUUACGUUAUAGUUGGCAAUGAAGCAUUUCCGUUAAAAUCUUAUCUUCUGCGCCCUUAUAGUAAAAGAAAUCUUGGCGGAGAUAAAGCCAAAAAAUUUUUAACUACCGUCUGUCAAGGGCUCGAAGAGUCGUAGAAAACAGUUUUGGGAUUUUAGCUGCUCGCUGGAGCAUUUUUCUUCGAUACAUAGAAGUUCAGCCAGACACAGCACAAGAUAUUAUUUUAGCAGCCGUAUGUUUGUAUAAUGUACCACAUAUUCGGCAAAAUUGCACAGAGCGGGCAAUGUUUGUGAAAGAUAAAUUUAAGGAAUAUUUCAACUCCUAAGAGGGCAGCGUACCUUGGCAGGCCCAAACCGUGAGACGCGGAAGAAUACAGUGAAGUUGUAAAAAUAUAUUAUUAAUAAAUAUAGAAAAUUUUUGUAUAGUUUUA